rnacentral:rRNA from 1 species
GCUUGUCUCAAAGAUUAAGCCAUGCAUGUCUAAGUAUAAACUGCUUAUACUGUGAAACUGCGAAUGGCUCAUUAUAUCAGUUAUAGUUUAUUUGAUGGUUCAUACUACUUGGAUAACCGUAGUAAUUCUAGAGCUAAUACAUGCGUCAAAACCCGACUCCUGGGAGGGUUGUAUUUAUUAGAUGGAAACCAAUGCGGGGCAACCCGGUAUAUGGUGAUUCAUAAUAACUUUCGGAUCGAUCUUCGGAUCGAUGCAUCAUUCAAGUUUCUGCCCUAUCAGCUUUGGAUGGUAGGGUAUUGGCCUACCAUGGCUUUAACGGGUAACGGAGAAUUAGGGUUCGAUUCCGGAGAGGGAGCCUGAGAAAUGGCUACCACAUCCAAGGAAGGCAGCAGG